rnacentral:rRNA from 1 species
GGAUUCCCCUAGUAACUGCGAGUGAAGCGGGAAAAGCUCAAAUUUAAAAUCUGGCGGUCUUUGGCUGUCCGAGUUGUAAUCUAGAGAAGUGUUAUCCGCGCUGGACCGUGUACAAGUCUCCUGGAAUGGAGCGUCAUAGAGGGUGAGAAUCCCGUCUUUGACACGGACUACCAGGGCUUUGUGAUGCGCUCUCAAAGAGUCGAGUUGUUUGGGAAUGCAGCUCAAAAUGGGUGGUAAAUUCCAUCUAAAGCUAAAUAUUGGCGAGAGACCGAUAGCGAACAAGUACCGUGAGGGAAAGAUGAAAAGAACUUUGGAAAGAGAGUUAAACAGUACGUGAAAUUGCUGAAAGGGAAACGCUUGAAGUCAGUCGCGUUGUCCAGGGAUCAACCUUGCUUUUGCUGGGUGUACUUCCUGGUUAACGGGUCAACAUCAAUUUUGAUUGUUGGAAAAAGAUUAGAGGAAUGUAGCAUCUUCGGAUGUGUUAUAGCCUUUGGUUGUAUACAACAAUUGGGAUUGAGGAACUCAGCACGCCGCAAGGCCGGGUUUUUAACCACGUUCGUGCUUAGGAUGUUGGCAUAAUGGCUUUAAUCGACCCGUCUUGAAACACGGACCAAGGAGUCUAACAUGCCUGCGAGUGUUUGGGUGGAAAACCCGAGCGCGUAAUGAAAGUGAAAGUUGAGAUCCCUGUCGUGGGGAGCAUCGACGCCCGGACCAGAAAUUUAUGGACGGCUCCGCGGUAGAGCAUGUAUGUUGGGACCCGAAAGAUGGUGAACUAUGCCUGAAUAGGGUGAAGCCAGAGGAAACUCUGGUGGAGGCUCGUAGCGAUUCUGACGUGCAAAUCGAUCGUCAAAUUUGGGUAUAGGGGCGAAAGA